GACGAACGCUGGCGACGUGCUUAACACAUGCCAGUCGAACGGAAAGGCCCUGCUUUUGUGGGGUGCUCGAGUGGCGAACGGGUGAGUAACACGUGAGUAACCUGCCCUUGACUUUGGGGUAACUUCAGGAAACUGGGGCUAAUACCGGAUAGGAGCUCCUGCUGCAUGGUGGGGGUUGGAAAGUUUCGGCGGUUGGGGAUGGACUCGCGGCUUAUCAGCUUGUUGGUGGGGUAGUGGCUUACCAAGGCUUUGACGGGUAGCCGGCCUGAGAGGGUGACCGGCCACAUUGGGACUGAGAUACGGCCCAGACUCCUACGGGAGGCAGCAGUGGGGAAUAUUGCACAAUGGGCGGAAGCCUGAUGCAGCAACGCCGCGUGCGGGAUGACGGCCUUCGGGUUGUAAACCGCUUUCGCCUGUGACGAAGCGUGAGUGACGGUAAUGGGUAAAGAAGCACCGGCUAACUACGUG
rnacentral:rRNA from 1 species